rnacentral:lncRNA from 1 species
AUGAAAUUCAUAUUUGUUGGUUGUUUUAGCAUUCGGUUGGAUUAUAUUAAACCGGCAGCGCUCGCGCUUCACCAGCACAUUCAAGUACAAAAAACAAAACAAAACAAAAAGAGAAAACACAAGAACAAAACUAAGUCCAGAGAUGUCAGAUUAAAAACCGUGGUGCAGAUCCCCGUCCUCGCCUCAUCCUCGAACCCAUCAUGGAACCUCCGUGUCGUCAUGGCAAUCACAGGACCAAAAGCCUCCAAUCAAAUGUUCUCAGGUGGGCGGCGCCAGACAACGUGUUUGUUCUUCUUUUUGAUUGGUGGAUUACUUACUAGUUGCAUUUGUUUUCCUCUUUUUCCGUUCUCAAGGUUUUCAUUCAAUAGCUAAACAGACUUCUUGUUCAGUUUCUUGCCUUUUUUCAGAACCAAUUUGUUUUUGAUGUGUCCCCUCUUCCUCUUGGCUGUCUGUGAACCAAAGGAAAUAACACAUCAGGAUAGUCAACAUUCAUAAUGAAAAUUUACCAUUGGAUAUGAAAGUACAACCAGACCGUGUUAUAAUGUAGAUUUAUGUUAAAUAAUUUAAGAAAAUUAAGGAAUGUAUUUUAACUACUUAUAGUAUUUACAGUUGAUAGUUGCUACUAUCAUUAAUAAACCGGGCUAGCAAAAUUGAACAGAAUUGAUCCCUCUACACAAACCACACAAACACAGAAUUGAGCCCUCUUUCGCACAGCCUUUCAUUUGAAUGGACAUAUGCACACAAAAUUUGCACAAAAUAACCAUCUCAGCAAGUAUUCUCGUAUGUCUUAAGCAAAUGUUAACAGUGGAAAAAGAAACUAACGUGCAUCAUUAUAUUGGAUCCGUGCAUUCGGUCUUAAAGGGCCAGCAGCCUAUAAAUACCUGCUGUUCCAUAAGCGCCACCUGCUGUCAGCGAGUGACAUUUGCAUCUCAUUCUGCUCAUUUGAUGCUUUUGUGUCGUUCAGAUAUUUUAUGUAGUAUAGUUUCACAAAUCAGACCAUUCGGUUCAAAUGUAAAAAAUUAUACAAUCUAAUUACAAUCUAAAUAACACGUAAUUAGCAUCUUUGUUUGGACCGUGAUUAAAAUGCAGGGGUUGCCUCUGAUUUUUAAUGGAAACAGCACAGGCAAAGCCUUAGUUUAUUUAGAUGAAGACACAUUUUCAUUAAUAAUUUGUCUGAAAUCUCAUUUUGUUUAAAAUGCCUUAAUGUUUGAAGUAAUUUUA